rnacentral:rRNA from 1 species
GACGAACGCUGGCGGCGUGCCUAAUACAUGCAAGUAGAACGCUGAAGGAGGAGCUUGCUCUUCUGGAUGAGCUGCGAACGGGUGAGUAACGCGUAGGUAACCUGCCUGGUAGCGGGGGAUAACUAUUGGAAACGAUAGCUAAUACCGCAUAACAGUAGAUGUUGCAUGACAUUUGCUUAAAAGGUGCAAUUGCACCACUACCAGAUGGACCUGCGUUGUAUUAGCUAGUUGGUGGGGUAACGGCUCACCAAGGCGACGAUACAUAGCCGACCUGAGAGGGUGAUCGGCCACACUGGGACUGAGACACGGCCCAGACUCCUACGGGAGGCAGCAGUAGGGAAUCUUCGGCAAUGGACGGAAGUCUGACCGAGCAACGCCGCGUGAGUGAAGAAGGUUUUCGGAUCGUAAAGCUCUGUUGUAAGAGAAGAACGAGUGUGAGAGUGGAAAGUUCACACUGUGACGGUAUCUUACCAGAAAGGGACGGCUAACUACGUG